ACCCAUCUGACGAGUCCAAAACAGAACGAAACAUGCGUCAAACUGGAU
rfam:Schistosoma mattheei strain Denwood, Zambia genome assembly, scaffold: SMTD_scaffold0000855